UAGGGAAUCUUCGGCAAUGGGGGCAACCCUGACCGAGCAACGCCGCGUGAGUGAAGAAGGUUUUCGGAUCGUAAAGCUCUGUUGUAAGAGAAGAACGUGUGUGAGAGUGGAAAGUUCACACAGUGACGGUAACUUACCAGAAAGGGACGGCUAACUACGUGCCAGCAGCCGCGGUAAUACGUAGGUCCCGAGCGUUGUCCGGAUUUAUUGGGCGUAAAGCGAGCGCAGGCGGUUUAAUAUGUCUGCAGUUAAAGGCAGUGGCUUAACCAUUGUUCGCUUUGGAAACUGUUAAACUUGAGUGCAGAAGGGGAGAGUGGAAUUCCAUGUGUAGCGGUGAAAUGCGUAGAUAUAUGGAGGAACACCGGUGGCGAAAGCGGCUCUCUGGUCUGUAACUGACGCUGAGGCUCGAAAGCGUGGGGAGCAAACAGG
rnacentral:rRNA from 1 species